rnacentral:rRNA from 1 species
AUCAACUUUCGAUGGUAGGAUAGAGGCCUACCAUGGUGGUAACGGGUACCGGGGUGUUAGGGCACGACACCGGAGAGGGAGCCUGAGAAACGGCUACCACAUCCAAGGAUGGCAGCAGGCGCGCAAAUUACCCAAUCCCGACACGGGGAGGUAGUGACAAUAAAUAACAAUACAGGGUUCUUUUGGAUCUUGUAAUUGGAAUGAGUACAAUUUAAAUCUCUUAACGAGGAACAAUUGGAGGGCAAGUCUGGUGCCAGCAGCCGCGGUAAUUCCAGCUCCAAUAGCGUAUAUUAAAGUUGUUGCAGUUAAAAAGCUCGUAGUUGAACUUCGGGAUCAAUUGAUCGGUCAUGCCUUGGUAUGUACUGGUCAUAUUGGUUCUCACCUUCUAAUGAACCUUAAUGUCUUUCACUUGAUGUUUUGGGGAAUUAGGACUGUUACCUUGAAAAAAUUAGAGUGUUUAAAGCAGGCUUACGCUUGAAUACAUUAGCAUGGAAUAAUGAAAUAGGACAUCGCAUUCUAUUUUGUUGGUUUCUAGGAUCGAUGUAAUGAUUAAUAGGGAUAGUUGGGGGCAUUAGUAUUCAAUUGUCAGAGGUGAAAUUCUUGGAUUUAUUGAAGACUAACUACUGCGAAAGCAUUUGCCAAGGAUGUUUUCAUUAAUCAAGAACGAAAGUUAGGGGAUCGAAGACGAUCAGAUACCGUCGUAGUCUUAACCAUAAACUAUGCCGACUAGGGAUCGGAUGAUGUUAAUUUUUAAAUGACUCAUUCGGCACCUUACGGGAAACCAAAGUGUUUGGGUUC